GAUGAACGCUGGCGGCGUGCCUAAUACAUGCAAGUCGAGCGAACGGACGAGAAGCUUGCUUCUCUGAUGUUAGCGGCGGACGGGUGAGUAACACGUGGAUAACCUACCUAUAAGACUGGGAUAACUUCGGGAAACCGGAGCUACUACCGGAUAAUAUUUUGAACCGCAGGGUUCAAAAGUGAAAGACGGUCUUGCUGUCACUUAUAGAUGGAUCCGCGCUGCAUUAGCUAGUUGGUAAGGUAACGGCUUACCAAGGCAACGAUGCAUAGCCGACCUGAGAGGGUGAUCGGCCACACUGGAACUGAGACACGGUCCAGACUCCUACGGGAGGCAGCAGUAGGGAAUCUUCCGCAAUGGGCGAAAGCCUGACGGAGCAACGCCGCGUGAGUGAUGAAGGUCUUCGGAUCGUAAAACUCUGUUAUUAGGGAAGAGCAUAUGUGUAAGUAACUGUGCACAUCUUGACGGUACCUAAUCAGAAAGCCACGGCUAACUACGUG
rnacentral:rRNA from 1 species